rnacentral:rRNA from 1 species
AGGACGAACGCUGGCGGCGUGCUUAACACAUGCAAGUCGAGCGGAAAGGCCCUUCGGGGUACUCGAGCGGCGAACGGGUGAGUAACACGUGAGUAAUCUGCCCCUAGCUCUGGGAUAGCUCCGGGAAACCGGGAUUAAUACCGGAUACGACCACCUUAGACAUCUUUUGUGGUGGAAAGAAUUUCGGCUAGGGAUGAGCUCGCGGCCUAUCAGCUUGUUGGUGGGGUAACGGCCUACCAAGGCGACGACGGGUAGCCGGCCUGAGAGGGCGACCGGCCACACUGGGACUGAGACACGGCCCAGACUCCUACGGGAGGCAGCAGUGGGGAAUAUUGCGCAAUGGGCGAAAGCCUGACGCAGCGACGCCGCGUGGGGGAUGAAGGCCUUCGGGUUGUAAACCCCGUUUCAGCAGGGACGAAGCGAAAGUGACGGUACCUGCAGAAGAAGCGCCGGCUAACUACGCGCCAGCCAGCCGC